rnacentral:SRP_RNA from 1 species
GCCGGGCGUGGUGGCGGGCGCCUGUAGUCCCAGCUACUUGGGAGGCUGAGGCAGGAGAAUGGCAUGAACCCAGGAGGCGGAGCUUGCAGUGAGCCGAGAUCGCGCCACUGCACUCCAGCCUGGGCGACAGAGCGAGACUCCGUCUCAAAAAAAAAAAAAAAAAGAAAAAAUGUUCCUGGGGUCGACAAACUUUCUUUGUUUUGAGACGCAGUCUCACUCUGUCGCCCAGGCUGGAGUGCAGUGGCAUGAUCUCGGCUCACUGCAGUUUCUGCCUCCUGGGCUAAAGUGAUUCUCCUGCCUCAG